AUAUUUUGAGGGACAAAUUUUUUUCGUGGACAUCUAGAAGAUUCUCUUGUUAUCUUGUUUGGACAACCACUCCACAAUUGCAUGACAUUCUCAGUCAAUAAACUGCAGAAUGAAAACGACGAUAAUGGGGAUUAUCGCAUAAUUGUCAUGUCUAAGUCAUUGCAAAUGAGGAAAAGAAUCCAAGACAAACAGGGAACAAAAGCUCACGGAGAUGACAAUUGACAAAUUGAAAAUCUUUUAAUGAACUCACGGAGAUAAAUACCUACCUUUUAAAUUCCAUAUUCAACACUUAUUCCGUCAAGUGGAAUUAUUCCCAGGAGGAUUGAGAGAUCACAAGCAACUGGCUAACAAUGAACAUAGGAACACAUUUUAUACGCUGCAGCACUAGUGAUGUCCGAUUAGUGCGAUUCCGGCGGUUGCUCUCAUCGAUAAAAAGACAGAUCUACCAGACUAAAUAAAAGCUGCAACACUAGCAAAUUCCGAAAUUAUAUACCUAUAUUCUGAUUCUUUCUUAUCGAUUCUCCAUGACCUGUCAUUGAGAAAAUAAGGAAACCAUUUAGGAGUGGGGUUUCUAGAUUUUUUUUUCUAUCGCUAAAAUCCAUCGAAAUCAAAGGAUUCACGUGUCACAUUGAACAUCUUCACGAUUCGAUUGCUUAUCUCCAGCUACUCAUCAGGUGGCAUAAAAUUAUCGCGUAAUUUUUCGCGAACCUGAUAUAUUGAUUAGAUGAAUAGAUGAUUCUUCUCGAUUAAACAGACUGUAACGUUGUCACCAGGAAAAAUACGAUCUCAUUUAUUGAAAUAGAUUAAGGGUAAAAACAAGAUCUUGAACGAUCAGAAAAAUUUAUCACGGUAAAUGAGCAUUGACAUUAUUGGUAGCAACAACGCUGUUUAGCAACACUGACCAGCCAUUUCUCGAAAUUACUGGGGCACCAUGAGAUCGGGAUUAAUCAGUAAAUAAUACCACAAAGAAUACGGCAACUUCCGUCAAACGUAAAAAUACAAUUGAGUAAAUAUUUUCGGUAUUUAUCGGCUCUUCUCGGAAAUUUCUUCUGAGCCAAUCAUUUUUCACAAAUAUCGAUGCAUCUAAAAUAUCUAAUGACACAGCAGAAAGUUAUCUACCUAUUAGGAAUACGGCGACGCUGGCUCAUCAUAGCAAACAAAGUGUUUCGUUAAGAGUUUAAGCACAUAUCGACGAGGGAGAUUCUGUCCCACGAAUGGUUUCUACACAAACGACCGAUCACGACUGACAGUUAUCGACUAACUAUGAAUCCCCUAUCUCCGGAGUGUCUACAAAUAUAAUGACACAAAUAGAAAAAUAUCCAAAUUAUCACUUUAAUUAAAUUCUCGACUGCAAAUACAAUUGGAUUUAAUUGAUGUACAUCACAAAAUUGAUUGACCUGUUGAAAAGGAUAAUAUUGCAAUUAUCAUACAAAGCGAGAGGUUCUUACAACUGUUAAAUAGAUCGAGCAGCAACUCCGAGAGUCCAAAAAAAAUUGAUAACAAAA